rnacentral:rRNA from 1 species
ACGGGAGGCAGCAGUGAGGAAUAUUGGUCAAUGGGCGCGAGCCUGAACCAGCCAAGUAGCGUGCAGGAUGACGGCCCUAUGGGUUGUAAACUGCUUUUUCGCGGGGGUAAAGUUCGCCACGUGUGGCGUUUUGCAAGUACCGCGUGAAUAAGGACCGGCUAAUUCCGUGCCAGCAGCCGCGGUAAUACGGAAGGUCCGAGCGUUAUCCGGAAUCAUUGGGUUUAAAGGGAGCGUAGGCGGGACGUCAAGUCAGCUGUGAAAACCCCGGGCUCAACCCGUGGCGUGCAGUUGAAACUGUCGUUCUUGAGUGCACAUAAGGAAGGUGGAAUUCGUGGUGUAGCGGUGAAAUGCUUAGAUAUCACGAAGAACUCCGAUUGCGAAGGCAGCCUUCCGGGGUGCUACUGACGCUGAGGCUCGAAAGUGCGGGUAUCGAACAGGAUUAGAUACCCUGGUA